GUGGGGAAUUUUGGACAAUGGGCGCAAGCCUGAUCCAGCAAUGCCGCGUGCAGGAAGAAGGCCUUCGGGUUGUAAACUGCUUUUGUACGGAACGAAACGGUCCGGGUUAAUACCCUGGGCUAAUGACGGUACCGUAAGAAUAAGCACCGGCUAACUACGUGCCAGCAGCCGCGGUAAUACGUAGGGUGCAAGCGUUAAUCGGAAUUACUGGGCGUAAAGCGUGCGCAGGCGGUUUUGUAAGACAGGCGUGAAAUCCCCGGGCUCAACCUGGGAACUGCCUUUGUGACUGCAAGGCUAGAGUACGGCAGAGGGGGAUGGAAUUCCGCGUGUAGCAGUGAAAUGCGUAGAUAUGCGGAGGAACACCGAUGGCGAAGGCAAUCCCCUGGGCCUGUACUGACGCUCAUGCACGAAAGCGUGGGGAGCAAACAGGAUUAGAUACCCGAGUAGUCC
rnacentral:rRNA from 1 species